rnacentral:rRNA from 1 species
ACAGAGGGUGCAAGCGUUGUUCGGAAUUACUGGGCGUAAAGCGUGCGUAGUCGGUAUUGAGAGUCGCGGGUGAAAUCCCAGGGCUUAACCCUGGAACUGCCUGCGAGACCUCAGUACUAGAGUGUGAGAGGGGAUAGUGGAAUACCCAGUGUAGCGGUGAAAUGCGUAGAGAUUGGGUGGAACACCGGUGGCGAAGGCGGCUAUCUGGCUCACAACUGACGAUCAGGCACGAAAGCGUGGGGAGCAAACAGGAUUAGAUACCCUGGUAGUCCACGCCGUAAACUAUGCAUACAAGCUGUAGUGGGGUUUUACUCCUGCUGUGGCGAAGCUAACGCAAUUAGUAUGCCGCCUGGGGAGUACGGUCGCAAGACUA